AUUGAACGCUGGCGGAAUGCUUUACACAUGCAAGUCGAACGGCAGCACGGGAGCUUGCUCCUGGUGGCGAGUGGCGAACGGGUGAGUAAUAUAUCGGAACGUAUCCAAUAAUGGGGGAUAACUAGUCGAAAGAUUAGCUAAUACCGCAUACGCCCUGAGGGGGAAAGCUGGGGGAUCUUCGGACCUAGCGUUAAUGGAGCGGCCGAUAUCUGAUUAGCUAGUAGGUGAGGUAAAGGCUCACCUAGGCAUCGAUCAGUAGCUGGUCUGAGAGGACGACCAGCCACACUGGAACUGAGACACGGUCCAGACUCCUACGGGAGGCAGCAGUGGGGAAUUUUGGACAAUGGGCGCAAGCCUGAUCCAGCCAUUCCGCGUGAGUGAAGAAGGCCUUCGGGUUGUUAAAGGCUCUUUCGCAAGGGACGAUGAUGACGGUACCUGCAGAAUAAGCCCCGGGCUAACUUCGUGCCAGCAGCCGCGGUAAU
rnacentral:rRNA from 1 species